AAGCUAUCACAAUUUGCAAACCUGACGAACACCAAAGCCUUUUUACCACACUAUCACAUCACAUCUCAUCCCAUAUCAUCAUACUAUUGUACACAUUCCUGUUCAUUAUAUCUCAGUAAAGAUUGCAUCAGUUCAACAACCA